UUGAUCAAUGCAUUUCUCUUCCUGCAACAAAGAGCACUGGGCAUGCGCAGUCAUUGUCAUUGCGGACUGGUGCUGAAGCUGAGAAGGAGACGCGGAUCACAGGAGCUCAGCCGAUUACAUCAUUUUUAUCCAGCAUGAUUGGCUGAAGGUCAGGUCGUUGGCGGACCAUCACGUCCUACCGAAUGCCAUAACAAACCUUGCACCUAACGACAUUUUAACGUAGACGAAAUCUAAAUCGUAAAAAAAUCUGUUGCUCGUUUUGAGAAUGGCCGAGAGUGAGGCAGACACGCCAAGCACCCCGAUUGAGUUUGAGAGCAAAUAUUUCGAGUUUGAUGGAGUCCGACUCCCACCCUUCUGCAGAGGGAAGAUGGAGGAGAUAGCCAACUUCUCCCUCAGAAGUAGUGAUAUAUGGAUUGUCACCUAUCCAAAGUCAGGCACUAGUCUGUUACAGGAGGUAGUCUAUUUAGUGAGCCAAGGGGCAGAUCCGGAUGAGAUUGGUCUUAUGAAUAUUGAUGAGCAGCUGCCUGUUCUGGAGUACCCCCAACCUGGACUGGACAUCAUACAGGAACUGACUUCUCCUCGGCUAAUCAAGAGCCACUUGCCCUAUCGCUUCCUUCCCACUGCUAUGCACAAUGGGGAGUCCAAGGUGAUCUAUAUGGCCAGGAACCCAAAGGACCUGGUGGUGUCCUACUACCAGUUCCACCGUUCCCUCAGGACCAUGAGCUACCGCGGAACCUUCCAGGAGUUCUGCCGCCGCUUCAUGAAUGACAAACUGGGAUAUGGCUCCUGGUUUGAGCAUGUGCAGGAGUUCUGGGAGCAUCGCAUAGGCUCCAACAUCCUCUUCCUAAAAUAUGAAGACAUGUACAAGGACCUGGGGACAUUGGUGAAGCAGCUGGUCAGGUUCCUUGGGGUGUCCUGUGACAAAGCCCAGCUGGAGGGAAUGGUGGAGAGCUGUAAUCAGCUCAUAGAGCAGUGCUGCAACUCAGAGGCCCUCUCCAUCUGCAGGGUGCAUGGAUCCCUAACCUAAAGCCUUGGACAGGGCUAACACACAACUCACACAGCCUAUUUGGCUCAUCAAUAGGACUGUACACAUAUUGUUUAAACAUCAAGGGACCAAGGGUCGUGUGGGGCUGUGGAAAGACAUCUUCACUGUGUCAAUGAAUGACAAGUUUGAUGCUGUUUAUAGACAGAAGAUGGGCAAGUCCGAUCUGACCUUUGACUUCGGCCUGUGAGGACGUACAGAACCCUUCCUCCUUCCGUAUUGAGACUACAUAUUCCACAGUCCUCUGCCUCUAUUCCCCACUCACCUAUCAAUGAUCAAUCAGAAUCUCCACUGAUUAAUCUGUCAAUGGCGCCUCCUACACACGGCUACUAUUCACAACCCUCUAACAGGUAAUCAAUCCAAUAAAUCAAUGGAUCAUUAUCACCUAAAUCUACAAUAAAUUCACUUCAUCAGUCACCUGUUAACAUUGUCAGUCAAAAUUACAAUAAUUAAUUAGUUGUUAUCAGCCAACUUGUUUGAUUAUCAGUGAAAACUUACAUAUAGUCAUUUAGCAGACGCUCUUAUCCUGAGCGACUUACAGUAGUCCAUCUGUGGCCCAAACCUCUUAUCACCACCCAGCCAUCCUAGUGUAUAGCAAGUCUUGAAUGUUUCAAAGAGGAAAUGCAUGGAAUUCUAAUGUGGCGUAGCCAAUAGAGAAUGCGAAGUUACGUCACUGUAAGUUAACGAUACGUCAUGCCGUGUUGCCAUAGACUUAUACACAGUAGACUAACCAAGCCUGCUCUUUAAAGAUGGCCAUUCAUUUCUAUGAAAAGUGCGCAGUAAGGCAAGCGAGAGAGCGAAAUGGACCGCGCCAUCUUUCCAGUUCCAGCUCAUCCGGUCUUGGGCAGAACAGUAUACGCUACAACUAGCUGUACACGUCAUUCUUUUACAAUCAGUUGCGGGCGUGUGAGAGAGUUAUAAAAAUGGCAGAAUGGGGUACAAGUCCGAUCAAGAAGCCGAUACAUCAUGUGAACUUUACGUAAAUCAAUGCUAUUAGUACUGUAUAGUAGUCCUUUCACAUGUUUUGUAGAAAUAUAGGCCUAUUCUAGAUGGAACAUACGUUCCACAUACGACUCAGACUCACCACAUAUACGUUGUUCUUUUUGCUUCGUGUUUUUAGUAUGACUGCUUAAGUAUUGUGUUGGAUUAAAGAAACUGUAAAUUUGAAUAUCUGGCUCUGUCGUUGUUCUAGCUUGGCAAAGCAAGCUCAGUUAAAUAGGCCUAUAUAUGUUACUAUUAUGAUGAUGUGUUGCUUUACUAUUACUAGCUUACUGUUACGGUUAAUGCCAUCAUUGUGGUGUUAACUGACAUGACGUUGCAUGACCAUAACAAUAUUGUGGUUAUCAGACAUGAUUUAUUCAUCUUUGACUUUGCUCCAGAAGAACAUGUCAACAAUCUAUAAUGACGCCUUAACAUGCCACAAUAUCACUAAUUAUAUUAGGCUACAAUUAUGUUUGUCAUGCCAUGAACAUAAUAACGUUCAUUACAAAAUUGUUAAAUCUGCUUUAAAAUAACAGAAAUAAACUCUAUAAACAAC